UGUUUAUUGAAACUUUUCUAGAUAAAUCGGGAGCUGAAAGAUCACCUGAAGGAAACUAUCACCCUUGUGGUUUAUCAUCAGCAGACAGGCACUCUGGAUCCGAUCACACCACAGAUGAUUGACAGGAUGGUUGGCGAUCUAACAGACGAGCAUGCAGCUGAUUGGGAUGUUUACUUACCUGCCAAGGUUUUCAGUCUUUGCUUCAAACAGCAUUUGGUAACUAAGGAGAGGCCUUUUUCUUUGCUGUAUUGUAAGGGACUAGAGCCAAUUCAGACCCCCAGGGGACUAGAUUACGUUAACUCCAAGAUCCAAGAGAGCGCCUUUGUCGUUAGAUAGAUCUUCAUUUGGUCUUUUAGAUAAGGAAGCAGUCUUAUUUCCCACUGAGGGGAGAGAAACAGGCGUCCUGCGGAGCAACAUCACAGUCAUGAUGGAUUGAACAGGAUGAACCUGUAUUUGAUGAACUGAAACUGCAGAAGAGAAUGAAAAACUUUAAGAACUCCCAAGAAAUUGUCUUGUUUUUUGGACAUUUGGAAAUAACUUCUUUUUUUCGGGGGUAGUUAAUAUGUUGAUAUUAGUUAAUAUUAUAUGGUAGGGAAAGGCCCCUAAGCUGACUGAAUGUUUGAAAAAUAACUUCUCAGACUCAGAGCUCUAAAUGGUUAAUUUCCCAACCACAGCUGCCCCCCCAUCACAAACACCCUGGGAAAAUCUCCAGAGAUUUUGGGUGGUAAAGACUCGAUAUUUAAUGUACUUAAUAUUGUUUGAUAAACACAUGUAAUAUUAACACUGUUUGUAUGGGGACAGAAUAAUAUCUGUAAAGAUAUUUAGUUAUCCACAUUUAGAAUUUGUAAAAUUACUCAGCAGAUUUGAUUCUGUUUUCUGAAUCACCUUCACAGACAUGACAGCAUGGGGUGAUUUAGAUGAAAUAUGAUGCAGAAAAUUUGUUUGCAGAUUUUCAGUAUUAUUUUUACUGUCAGCUUGGUGACUUUUUCAGGUACUUCUUCAUGUUACAGAGAGUGCCAAAAUCAUUACCUACCUGAAUUGAAUCAGUUGUCAUAUAUGAGAAAUCGCUUUCUGGAAAUGUUUUUUUUUUUUUUUU